AAUUGAAAAGUACAAAAAGGAACAAAAGAAAAAAACAAAAGACAAACAGGAAUUUUUCUCAUCACCUCAUUUUUGUGGGUUUUUCUUUUCUCAAAUCCC
rnacentral:ribozyme from 1 species